GCGAACGGAGACUCCACGUGUUUAAACGCACUCAAAACGAAAUAUUUACGUUGAAAAAAUAUUUUAUUUUUUAAGGGUGGUAGUAUCAGUCAAACCCCCACCACCGCACCGGCAAUUUUUUAAAUUAUAGUUAGCAAGUUUUUCAAUCACGCUCCGCUGCAAAGACGUCGCAAAUAAAAAUACGCAAAAGUAUUUUGGUUUUUCUAGGAUGGCAGCCCCCUCACUAUGAAGUUUCUUACACAGCCAAGUUGAUCACAGCAGUUUUUUCCAGGUUUUCUUGUUGUUUGAAAAGUUAAUUUUCCUGAUAUUUUGAACUGAAAAAACACAAUUGUAACCAGACACGACAAGAUGGGAGUAAAUCACCCACUAAGGUCCUCUACUGGGUUAUUUGGCCAUCAAUUACAUUUAAUUUUAUGAUGACAAACCGCCUCUGACUAUCCAUAAUUUCAUAAGCAGCCCAUUGAAAUCCACCAACAAGGUACAACCAAUUUUUUUAGUACACAACUGCAUCUACAAAAGCUAAUCUAAAGUCUGUAGCUUUUCUGGAAGGUCAGCUGCCAGCUAACAUUCUUCAGAAAUUUAUUUAGAACUUACUCGGUUUCUCUACAGGCUAAAUAAAUAAGAAUAACUUGAACCUAGUAGGACUUGUAAAAGGGCAGCUGCAUAAUUAAGUUUAAGCCGGUUCCACCCCCUGAAUUUAUGGUCAAUAUCUCUCAUAGUUUUGCAGCAUCAAACUGACUCGACAACAUCCUGGAACAAUUGCCUUAAUAAAAAUUGCAGGAGUAUC